CAGUGGGGAAUUUUGGACAAUGGGGGAAACCCUGAUCCAGCAAUGCCGCGUGUGCGAAGAAGGCCUUCGGGUUGUAAAGCACUUUUGUCAGGGAAGAAAAUGUUUGGGUUAAUACCCUGAGCAGAUGACGGUACCUGAAGAAUAAGCACCGGCUAACUACGUGCCAGCAGCCGCGGUAAUACGUAGGGUGCAAGCGUUAAUCGGAAUUACUGGGCGUAAAGCGUGCGCAGGCGGUUGUGUAAGACAGGUGUGAAAUCCCCGGGCUUAACCUGGGAAUUGCAUUUGUGACUGCACGACUAGAGUGUGUCAGAGGGGGGUGGAAUUCCACGUGUAGCAGUGAAAUGCGUAGAUAUGUGGAGGAACACCAAUGGCGAAGGCAGCCCCCUGGGAUAACACUGACGCUCAUGCACGAAAGCGUGGGGAGCAAACAGGAUUAGA
rnacentral:rRNA from 1 species